UAUGAUUUCUAGAUUUUUCUCUCUUCUCUCUCUUAGAUUCAUACAACAACAAUUAAAUAUCAUUAGGGUUCUUGAAUAAAAGGCAUUUCAAUCUAUUCUAAGGUAUAAUUUAAGACAAGUUAAGGAGGACAACCUUUACCUUGAAGAAUUCAAGUAUUAGCAAGUGAUAGUUAUGUCCAGCAAGAUUAGUGAUGUGAAGAGAUGGAGCUUAAGUCAUACAUUUUGAAUUGUAUAGCAAUGAUGUGCUUCAAUUUGUGAUGUUAAAAUGCUUUCCGAGUCAUAUAAGCUCCUAAGUACUACGUUCAAGUCACAUUUGCUUCCCAUGUCAUUGUUAUUAACCUCAGGGGCAAAAUCCUAGCAUGGGACGAUCCCGAUUGGUAUGGAAGGGUGACAACUUAGGGGCGAAAUCCUAUCAUGUGCCGAUCCCGAUUGGUAUGGAAGGGUGGCAGCUCAAGGGCGAAAGCCUAGCAUGGGCCGAUCCCAAUUUGUAGAAUUAUGAGGACAGCAUCCCAGGGGUCAUCUGUAUCAUAUGUAUUAAGGUUAUAAAGAAUAGAAAAGUAAAGAAAAGAAUGUAACAUGCACGAUUCCACAAGUACAAAGCAAAGGUACAAGUACUGAACUAGUAGAUUUUUUUAAUAGAAGCACAUUAUACUCAGCGGAUGUUGGUGAUCUCCAGGUUGAUUCGGGGCUUUGCCGAUUCAUUACUAUGCGUAUUUUCAUAGUGGUACCAUCAUGGAUUCCAGUAGAGGCUUUGUAGACAUUGUAAAGUUAUCAUCUGUAUUCAUAGUUUCACUUGUCACAUAUAGCAGUUCAGCUAGUCAAAAGGUGUUAUAUAUGAAGCUUCAUCGGUAAUUUGCAUAGUAGUUUACUUUCCUAUCAUAGAUUACUUGUAAAGCAUAUGUUCAUAAGGUACUUGUCCACCUCACCUAGGUUUGGGGGCUGACAAAUUUGUACAAGGGGAGUUUUUGGCUCUUCAUAACAAUCCUGAAGAUUUGCAAGUUGACUUUGAACUUCAAGCGAUGAUGGAUCAUUUGAAGUUGAAAAUCAAGCUUCUGACACUAUUUGCUGCAACUUUUGAGGUCUCCCUAAAAAAUUUGUUUCAAUUAGAACUUUUGGAUAAUCUCAACUUGUAGGAGAUAGCAUCUUUGUGAA